GGGUCUCUCAAGCUCAGUCGCGGUAGAUAGUUUGAAGUGAGUGCGUAUUUCUCUACACCGGGGCGUCUGAAUGGCCGCCGGGACCGCUGUGAGGGUGAUGUGGAUACUGUCGCUGAAAAGGAUCGUCGUGUAAGACAGCCAGGCGUCGACUCCUUGCCCCGCCAGGUGUGUCAGCGACGGCCGCCGCCAGCCAUCUCGUCCCCGGAGCAGGAAAUCGUAAUCGGCCGUGCAUUCGUGUUUUCCUCCGCCAGUGCUGCACGCCCACGCCGGGGUAACAUUGCCGUCCUGACCUUCCUUCCGUUAGCGGAGGCCGAGCGAGGUAUUUCACUUCCCUCCCACAGCGACGCCACGUUCCCGCAACACUGCCAACAGGAAACGCUCCAGCGCGGCCCCAGGGUCACCCUUGCCCUAAACACCUGUUGGUAUAAUGUACUCAUCGACAGUAUUUGUUUCCUUUGAAAAGAAUUGUAGUGAUGUCAAUGCUUUGGGAGAUACGGAAUAGUUUAACAUCAUCUUUAAUAUCUUUGAAAAAACUGACACAUUUUUUUCAUAAAUAUAUAGCAUCUGUCAUAUAGUAUAGUACAUUUCUACUAAACUGACUCUCCGUUGUAUAAGCAAAGUUAGUCAAUUUGAAAGCAAUGGAAGAACAGACUGAACACCAAAAGAAAAGGAAGACAGGAGGGUGCUCGAGGCAACAUAAAAGCAAACAAAAAGUAGAGCGUCAAGGCGCCUCUCCAUCCAUAAUCGAUCUCUCUUUUGGCCUCUUAUUUCUAUUUGCUUUUGUUUAUGUGUAGUACUGAGCAGGCUUUUUUGGGGGGUGGGGGGUGGGGAGGAGGGAGUCUUGCCCUUGAGAUGUUUCCUCUACUGCAAAACAUAUAUAAAAAAAGUAUUCCUUAUUUUCCACCACAUACUGACCUCCCGUUUGGCCACUCUACUUCUCUAUAGGAGCAGAGUUUAGCGGGCUUUUAUGUUGUGUUGGUUUUCUCUUUGCUUUUCCCCUUGAGCUGUUUCAUCUACUGCAAAACAUAUAUAUAAAAAAGAGUAUUCCUUAUUCUCCACCACAUACUGACCUCUCGUUUGGCCACUCUACUUCUCUAUAGGAGCAGAGUUCAGCGGGCUUUU